rnacentral:rRNA from 1 species
CUCUGGUAUUGAUUGGUGCUUGCAUCAUGAUUUACAUUUGAGUGAGUGGCGAACUGGUGAGUAACACGUGGGAAACCUGCCCAGAAGCGGGGGAUAACACCUGGAAACAGAUGCUAAUACCGCAUAACAACUUGGACCGCAUGGUCCGAGCUUGAAAGAUGGCUUCGGCUAUCACUUUUGGAUGGUCCCGCGGCGUAUUAGCUAGAUGGUGGGGUAACGGCUCACCAUGGCAAUGAUACGUAGCCGACCUGAGAGGGUAAUCGGCCACAUUGGGACUGAGACACGGCCCAAACUCCUACGGGAGGCAGCAGUAGGGAAUCUUCCACAAUGGACGAAAGUCUGAUGGAGCAACGCCGCGUGAGUGAAGAAGGGUUUCGGCUCGUAAAACUCUGUUGUUAAAGAAGAACAUAUCUGAGAGUAACUGUUCAGGUAUUGACGGUAUUUAACCAGAAAGCCACGGCUAACUACGUGCCAGCAGCCGCGGUAAUACGUAGGUGGCAAGCGUUGUCCGGAUUUAUUGGGCGUAAAGCGAGCGCAGGCGGUUUUUUAAGUCUGAUGUGAAAGCCUUCGGCU